CUGGACUCAGGCCCGGUGGCGGGGCGAGGCCCACGAGCGCCUUCGCUGGCCCGGCGUCCAGAGCCUCCAGAUGAAAACUCAGCUCAGCUCAGCUGACACCUUCAUUUCUGCCUCAUGAUACCCUGAGUGGAAGACCCAUCCCACCAUGCUGGAUGCCAGACCUACAGAACUGUAUGCAUGCUGUUUUACCCAACAAGAAGACGGAUCUGUUUCCUUUAUCCUUGUCUUGAGGCUGGUCUUGUAAUUUGCUUUGACCGAUUGACUUUGGAAGAAGUGACACUAUGAGAGUUCCAGGCCUCGCAGCCACAAUGUAUCUCUUGAAGCUGGUCAUCCUGCAAGAUGUCCCUACUCUGCUCUACUGGGAGAAAACCCAACGGAGUCACCAGGAGGGGUCAGAAGCACCAGACAUGGGAGUGAAGCCUCUAUGGACUUUUAUUUCACUGAAAGUAACUGAAUGAAUAAUCCUAGUUCUCAUCACUAGGAGCAGAGCUACUCAGCUAAUCUUAGCCCACAUUCCCAUCCUACAGAAUAAAGAGAAAUAUUAGUUUCUUAUUUUAAGCCACCAGGUUUUAGGGUUGGUUGUCAGGCAAAAGUUGAUCACUGAAAGAAAUUCCUUCCAAGUAAUAUACCAAAAAUCAUCUUAGUGAUCUAUUAUGAAAAAUAAUUUUUAAUGAUUUACUAGUGGACAGCUGAGUUAGGGUCUUCUUUAAUUUUGUUAAAAGCAAAGGGUUAGAAACCACUUGAUUUGCAAAAGAAUUUUCUAUGCAGUUGUUAAUGUUAUCCAGUUUCUCAGUUCUAACCCCGAGAUUUUGAAUUGUGCCUUUGUUUGGCAACUAUAAAUCUUUUACACCCUAGAUUGAUACACCAUAAUAGGACAUAAAAUAGAAAUGUGCCUGUCUUUUAAAAAAGAUAGUGUGUGAAGGGAUAUUAUUGUGGGAAUGGAGAAUCAACCCCUAGAGAAUAAUUUUAGAAAAAUGUUCAUAUGAUGUGGAAGAUCUGAAAAUUUAAUCUUCUAAAACUACUAGCUUAUUAUUUUAAGCAGCUUGGAUCGUUUUAUUCAGGUUUUGACAGAUUGUGCAAAUACAAUCACGGAUGCAGUUUUUUAAGGGUCUCAGCCUUCUGCCAGAAACUAACAGCUAUGUCAUAAAUAUUGAAAUAAAACUCAAAUAAAACUAAAUCAAAUAAGUCACCUGCUCCCCUUAAUUUCUAAACCACUGGAAGACAAAGAUGGCAAUUGCAGUGGAUGAUAAUGUCUUUCUUCUUUCAUUCUUUCCUCCCUCCCACCUUCCUUUCUUUCUCAUGGUAUUCCCAGAGAAAAGGCUUUACUAGGUGUCAUCAUUAUAAAUGAUAUCGUUAUAAAAAAAAGAUAUUUUAAAUCUUUAGUUCAUCCUAAAACACCACUAUGGUAUUUGCUUCUGAUUUUGCUUGGACGAUAUACCCUGAUCCUUCAUUCCACCCCAGGUAAGAGGAGGCCAUGUUAAAGAGAAAUCGUUAUCAUAUUUCCUACGUCCAAGAACGGGACCUUUGUGGUAGGAGUAAAUGGUCAUAAAACUAGGCGAAAUGGAAAGGUAGAACAGAGAUUACUCCCUUACUUAUUUCUUAUUUCUGUUUCUGAGGGUAAAAUUUGGGGCCAGGAAUGUCUUCGCUUGAGAAAAGCUUUCAUCUUUGGAGAACUGAAGGACUCUGGGUUGAGGACCAAGGGAGAGGAUCAAGAUGGAGCCGAUAUCUGAUAGAACACUAUUUAGAAGACACUCCAUGGACAUUUUCUGCUUUGAGUAAAUGUGUCUCCUAAGGCCUGGAGUUGGCCUAGGCUGUAAGAGAGUACAGGAGAGUCAGACAUUACAGUUCUA